CAGUCGUACCGGCGGAAAAUCAGCUCUUCGAGUGCGAACUUGUGGGCGUACGUGAGCUUUAACCGGCCUCGUUGUUUGCGAUGUUUGUGCUUUUUGGGUGUACUUUUUUCGUAUUGGUAGGCCAACGUCAGUCUCGGUCACCAUAAAAUGAUUAGAGGAAUGUAGCUUCGAUCUUGUAUCGAAGUGUUAUAGACUCUGGUAGAUGUGACGAUUGGGGAUUGAGGAUUGCAACGGAUACCCCUUCGGGGCUACCCGUCUGAUCUCUGAAGGUUGCC
rnacentral:rRNA from 1 species